UUGAAAAAUGGAGUUGAUUCUUCUCUCUGUUGCAUGCUAGUUGUUUGUGCAAAUUCCUAAGUGGGGACUGCUAUGACAUUAGGUGAUCCAAUUUUGAAAAGUUCACUCCAUCUGCAUGUGCAAGUUCAAAGAAUUAUUGUAGGCAAGUUUAGAAGUUUGGUUUCGUGAGAAAAAGUAUGAUUUUCUAUCAAUAUUUUGUAUGAUUCGUUUGCCUCAGCUAAAAAUAAAAAAUUAGACAAAAAAUAAUUUUGUUUACUGCCGGUAAAGCUCUCUCCACCCUACUGUCUGUUUUGGUUGAUGAACAAGUAUGGGCAAAAUAUCUUGUAUAGGGCAAGUUCUUGUAUUAGUGCCAGGCAAGUUCAAAAAAUAAACCGCAGCAAGUUCAAAAUGAAAAUGUGGCAAAAACAAAAAGGGAGUUCAGAAGCAGGAAUUUGGAUGUAUCUGCCAUUUUUCUUUUUUGUGCACAGGUUUACAUGAAAAUACACUUUUAGUUUCAGGAAUUGAAGAACUUUUGAGGAAGAAAUACCCUUUUGAUCUACUGUUGAUGGCUGGCAUUUGUGCCCCGAAGUAUGAGUUUGGAAGGCCAGUAAGUUCUACUUCUGGCAUAAGCCAACGGAGCAUCGGUCGAAGAAGGCCGAGGCGCCUCGUGCCAGCUCUGGGCAACGCCAGAGGCCCUACCUGUUCUUCCACCGCCCCUGUGCACUCACCGUCGAGCCUAUCCAUGCACAGCUCUGGUAGCCCAGUGUCACAAUACACAGUGGCCGGUGGAGCAGCUCCCUCCUCUCAGCUGCUCAAUGGCUUACAGAGGGGUGACAUUGCUAGGAGUUCAACAUGCAGAACCGUGCAUGUCCAAGUUCCUGCACCUCCAAGCAAACUCCAGUGAAGGUAAUUACACAAGUGAAGAUCCAUCUGACACCAAGGGCUGAAUUAAUAAAAUAUUGCUGGCAAUUUUCUCCCAUGCCAUGGAGAUUUGAGCCCCCUGAGCUUGUUGUAGCACAAUGGUGAUUCUCAGAACUGGCCGUGCGUGCGCAUUGGUGUGUUGUAGAGUGAUGUGAAACACUCAGUUCAAUUUCACAUUAACUAUCUCGUCACACACUCAGUUCAAUUUCUUGAUUUAGUUUCAGUUCAAAGACUACGAAUGUUUGUUGCCUAACGCCACAUGAUGGUAAGCUUAUUUCAUGAGUUUCCUGAUGCAAAUGCCCCUGGCCACCCUCGCGCCACCGCAGCGCCCAGGCCGUUCACCGCCGGUGCCACAGUCCGUUCACUGCCGAUAGACGAGGCCGUUCAAUGACGUAGCGAUGAGGCCAACCGCUGUCGUCUGUCUACCUCCUUCCCCGGUGAGCCCAUGAUCUUCUGCACUUGAUGCUUGAGCUGCCUGCACUUCUUUUCUCUGUUCGAAAAUUCCCAAAGCAUCAGUAUUUUGUAUCAGGAUACACCAUGUUAGCUAUGCAAAUUUCUAUUAUGCUUGUAUGUCCAAAAAUGUGUACAGUUACUGCUUUUGACUUCUUGUAGUGCAGAGAAGUUACCCUAUCGUGGGCUGACCUCGAGGCUCCUUCUCCACGUCGACACAAUUGUAGGACUAACGUGCUACUGACCAUGCAAGCUUCCUCAAGGAGCUCGUGUCCAACGAUACUGAAAGGAAAAACUGCUCCAGUUUUGAACUUCUUAUUCAGUCAUGCUAUUACUGAGUGAAAAAUGGAGUGAAAGUGUAUUGCAAUUGAUUUGUCUUAGACCCUGGCAAUUCUCUAUUUAGCCUGCUUGUUUUUUGGUUUGUAAUUUAAGAACUUUGACCUUCGUAAUUCGGUUUUUGGUUAAUUUGUUAUGCCCAGUACAAACCGUUAAAUCUGAAGAGGCUUCUAAUAGCAAGAAAAUGUACAGUCAGUGUGUUGUAUAUGUCAUUCAUGUAUGAAAAAUGUGCAGUCGGUGUG